rnacentral:rRNA from 1 species
AUUGAACGCUGGCGGCAGGCCUAACACAUGCAAGUCGAACGAGUGGCGGACGGGUGAGUAAUGUCUGGGAACUUGCCUGAUGGAGGGGGAUAACUACUGGAACCGGUAGCUAAUCCCGCAUACCAUCAGAUGUGCCCAGAUGGGCUUAGCUUGUUGGUGGGGUAAAGGCUCACCAGGGCGACGCUCCCUAGCUGGUCUGAGAGGAUGACCGGCCACACUGGAACUGAGACACGGUCCAGACUCCUACGGGAGGCAGCAGUGGGGAAUAUUGGACAAUGGGCGCAAGCCUGAUGAAGCCAUGCCGCGUGUAUGAAGAAGGUCUUCGGGUUGUAAAGUACUUUCAGCGGGGAGGCGUUACCCGCAGAAGAAGCACCGGCUAACUCCGUGCCAGCAGCCGCGGUAAUUC